AUUGUGAAUGAAUAUUUGUGAAUUGAUAAUUGUUCAUGAAAUAUGAUUAAUGAUUGUUCAUGGCUUAUGAUUGGUGAUUGUUCAUGAUGUAUAUGAUCGGUGAUUGUUCAUGAUGUAUAUGAUUGGUGAUUGUGUAUGAAUAACUGUGAAUUGAUACUUGUUCAUGAUACAUGUAAUUGGUGAUUGUUCAUGAAAUGUGAUUAAUGAUUAUUCAUGAUAAAUGUGAUUGGUGAUUGUGAAUGAAUAAUUGUAAAUUGAUAAUUGUUCAUAUGAUUGAUGAAUAUUGAUGUGAGAUAUCGGGGUGUGAUGUAAGUAUUAAUGUGUGAUUAUUAUUGAUCAAGUGCAUGAUGGUUAAAUUGAAAUAUCCAUGUUAACUGUUAUUUGGAUUAUGAUAAUGUAAUACUUACCCCCAGUGGAUCUGUUAUGGACCGCCUACUUGCCUGUAUGGGUGAGUAGACGUUGUGCAGGAUUAGUAGCUUGGUGAGUUCCUGAUGUUGGUG
rnacentral:lncRNA from 1 species